rnacentral:rRNA from 1 species
CAAGUCGAACGGGAAUCUUCGGAUUCUAGUGGCGGACGGGUGAGUAACGCGUAAGAAUCUAACUUCAGGACGGGGACAACAGUUGGAAACGACUGCUAAUACCCGAUGUGCCGCGAGGUGAAACCUAAUUGGCCUGAAGAAGAGCUUGCGUCUGAUUAGCUAGUUGGUGGGGUAAGAGCCUACCAAGGCGACGAUCAGUAGCUGGUCUGAGAGGAUGAGCAGCCACACUGGGACUGAGACACGGCCCAGACUCCUACGGGAGGCAGCAGUGGGGAAUUUUCCGCAAUGGGCGAAAGCCUGACGGAGCAACGCCGCGUGAGGGAGGAAGGUCUUUGGAUUGUAAACCUCUUUUCUCAAGGAAGAAGUUCUGACGGUACUUGAGGAAUCAGCCUCGGCUAACUCCGUGCCAGCAGCCGCGAUAAUACGGGGGAGGCAAGCGUUAUCCGGAAUUAUUGGGCGUAAAGCGUCCGCAGGUGGUCAGCCAAGUCUGCUGUCAAAUCAGGUUGCUUAACGACCUAAAGGCGGUGGAAACUGGCAGACUAGAGAGCAGUAGGGGUAGCAGGAAUUCCCAGUGUAGCGGUGAAAUGCGUAGAGAUUGGGAAGAACAUCGGUGGCGAAAGCGUGCUACUGGGCUGUAUCUGACACUCAGGGACGAAAGCUAGGGGAGCGAAAGGGAUUAGAUACCCCUGUAGUCCUAGCCGUAAACGAUGGAUACUAGGCGUGGCUUGUAUCGACCCGAGCCGUGCCGAAGCUAACGCGUUAAGUAUCCCGCCUGGGGAGUACGCACGCAAGUGUGAAACUCAAAGGAAUUGACGG